UACUAUGCCCUAAAUCGACUCUAACACAUCUCUUUUGCCCUAAAUCGAUACACCAACAAUCCCAGUUUGACAGCAUCGCACCGAUCCAUCAUCGCAGGUCCGUCGUCGCCGGUCCAUGGUCACUCCACACCCUCCCAUUGACGCACCUCUGUUCUCCACUCGAAGUCAAACUCGAAGUAAAACAGGUCGACGGUCCAUCGUCCUCCAUACCCUCCCAUUGCGCACCUCUGUUCUCCACUCGAAGUCAAACUCGAAGUCAAACAGGUUUCACAUGCAUGGGCUUUCCAUUAACCUUUGUGAAAUCAUCAAGAUGAUCAUCAACAACAGGUUUUACAGAUUUCAGACUUGUUCUUCCAAUUCUAGAGAUCUUUCCUUUACAUGAAUCAAGAUUCCAGUAAUCUGAACUUUUUUCACCAUGUUUGAACAAAUUAUUUCUCUCAAACCGCUUUUUAUUACCCCCUGAGGGCUCUUUUUGUAAAUUCUCACGAAACUGCAGCUCACAGAAGAAAGAAGGAACCUGCAGCUCAUAGAAGAAUGUUUCACCACCUGAGCUUUCUAUUUCACUUAAAAUGGUGAUCAUGGUGAUGGAAGUCCCGAAGAGGUUGAAAGAUCAAUUUUUGCAAUAAGUUUGAAAAAGGCUUCACCUUCUAUUCCAUUAGAGUUUGAUGCCUCAUCUUGUAAACUAGAUCUGCAGAUGUUAACUUAAUUGAACUCUUCAGAAUCUUGGUAUCUUCCUUAUUUUCAAACCAGAGGACAAUCAAGAGGCUGUUUUUACACAAACUUUGCAUCUAGUGGUAUCAGUCCUGGAUGGCUUUAAUGUAUGCAUUUUUGCAUAUGGACAAACUGGAACUGGAAAAACAUCCACAAUGGAAGGAACACCUGAACAGAGAGGAGUCAACUAUCGUACACUGGAGCAACUAUUCAAAUAAUCUGAAAAGAGAAGUAAACAACAACUAUUCAUGAGAUAUGGAACUCUUUAUCAGCAUAUUAGUUGAAGACACUGAAAACUCUGCUAAAAAGUUGGAAAUUAAGCAAUCAGCUGAAGGAACACAAGAAGUUUCUGGACUCUCUGAGGUGCCUAUAAGUUAAGUAGCCAAUCUCACUGCUUAUUGAGAGUGACAGUUCGUGGGGAGAUGUGAUUUCAGCUCUUGCAUCAAAGACUUCUCACAUUCCUUACCCAUAUUCAGUUAUAUCAUUGAACUCAAAGCUUACCCAUAUUCUUUAGAGCUCUCUAGGAGGUGAUUGUAGGACAUUGAUGUUCAUCGGAUUUGGGAGAAACAAUUUGUUCCCUAAAUUUUGCAAGCAGAGUGAGAGGUGUUGAACAUGGUCAGCUAGAAAACAAACUGAUGUCACUGAGCUAUUCAAGUACAAGCAGCUGACUGAGAAAGCAAAACAUGAUGAGAAAGAAACCAAAAAGUUGCAGGAUAAUCUCCAGUCUGUGCAACUCUGUCUUUCUGCAAGGGAACACAUAUGUAGAACUCUACAAGAAAAGGUGUCUGACUACAUUGAUCAAUUGAAUUUACUUUUAAUCCACAUUGAUCUUUAUAUGUUUGUUUUUUGAAAUAUUGGAUAAAAUGUAUGGAUUUUGUUUUUAAAAAUGACAUUUAAUUUUCAUAUUA